AGCAGCCGCGGUAAUUCCAGCUCCAAUAGCGUAUAUUAAAGUUGUUGCAGUUAAAAAAGCUCGUAGUUGAAUUUCGGGACCAAUAUGUUGGUCGUGCUUCGGUACGUACUUGCAUUAUUGGUUUCUCCCUUCUGAAGAACCAUGAUGUCAUUAAUUUGGUGUCUUGGGGAAUCAGGACUGUUACUUUGAAAAAAUUAGAGUGUUUAAAGCAGGCUCACGCUUGAAUACAUUAGCAUGGAAUAAUGAAAUAGGACGUUUGAUUCUAUUUUGUUGGUUUUCUAGGAUCGACGUAAUGAUUAAUAGGGAUAGUUGGGGGCAUUAGUAUUCAAUUGUCAGAGGUGAAAUUCUUGGAUUUAUUGAAGACUAACUACUGCGAAAGCAUUUGCCAAGGAUGU
rnacentral:rRNA from 1 species